CAAGGGGAGUCUUGGGGGACUCUAGUUCACCUGACACCCCAUCCGGCCACCCCAAAUAAACCUGCUAUCUCAGCCAAAGCAGUGUGCUCACUAUUGAAGUGUGACCAGAAGAAAUUCAGCCUCCAAUGCUCACAAACGUCAUCUACAGGAACCCGGCUCUGAAGCUUCAAGAAGAUCCAGUUUUUUCAGGAAAAUCACCGAGUACAUGCUUGACGUUCACUAGGAAGUGUGGCAGACGUCCUCGGAGAAGCAGAGAUGGGAUAGAACAUAAAUGUUCAGCGUAAUUGAAUAUGUUCAGAAGGACGAGACAUCGGUCUUGUUAAUUAUUCCAGCCAUUCGUCAUUCUCCCAUGGGCUCCGCGGCCACGGUCACCCUCAGCAGGAACUGGUGGAAUUCGGAGAAGACGGUCUUCCUCGAUUACGUGGAACUAUGUUGUGUGUGUAAGGCGUCGCCGCCUCCGUCCGCUGAUUGCC